rnacentral:RNase_P_RNA from 1 species
AUCGGCGACGACGAACCUGAAGCAAGAGGAAAGUCCGGGCAACACAGAGCGGCAUGUUUCCUAACGGGAAGCCGGCGGCGACGCCGGGGAUAAGUGACAGAAAACGACCGCCUCUCCUUCGGGGAGGUAAGGGUGAAAAGGUGGGGUAAGAGCCCACCGGCUCCGAUGGCGACACCGGAGGCCGCACAUCCCAUGUGUUGCAAGGCCAAAUACACCGGCAGCAAAGGAUUGCUCGUCCAUUGCCGGGGGGUAGGCUGCUUGAGCCCGCGGGCGACCGCGUGGAGUAGAUAAAUGACAGACACCGCCGAGAGGCGGCACAUAACCCGGCUUACAUCACUUCU